CACAAACGGAGCACGGGCUCGCGCUCGCCUCCUCUCCCUCUCGCGCAGAAGUCCUCACCGCCGCCGCCACCACCCACGCCGGAGCUCGCUGGACGGUCGCUUCCAGCGAGCUCCAUCGCCGCGCAACACGUACCCGAGCUCCCCACGGUUCGCGCCUUCCUUCCCUCCAGCCAGUUUCUCCGCUCCCGGCCUCUAUCGUCCGCUCCCAACCCCACCCCCAUGGCUAGGGUUUCGGGCAGGGCUUCGUCGGCGCGUCUCCCGCUCGCCGCCUUCUCCCACCACGCUAGCCUCCCUUCCCUAGCUACCCUCCCGUCGUGGAGCACCCUCACUGGGCACUCCUUUCUCUCCCCCUCCUGGCUCCUCCCGUCACCGAACUGAAGCACCAACCGUUCCUCCUCCACCCCCUGAUUUGGGGCAGCAACACCAUGAGCUAACACCCAGGCGACGAUCUCCUGCUGGUGUGGGUCAGUGUGGGCUUCCUCGAUCUGGGGCAGACUGGCCGGUUCCGGCGUGGGGAGAGGAGGAAGGUGAGACGGGAGGCCAAGGCAACGGCGAGAUCCACGUCGAGCCACCAUGGCCAUGACCAGAUCCACGAUGAGGUUAAAUGGGGCCGGCUGCUCCCUACAGGACGACGAAACUCUUCAAGGGUGAUCCUUCUCUUUUCCCCGAGAUUGAUGUGCCUGUGGCAUGCUUGCUCUCCAUGUGUAUGUGCUUGUUGUAUUUGCCUGCAUCUGAUGGUUCUUCCAAUGUGCGUGCUUGAGAAAUACACCUGCAGAUUGACCCCGCGAAUUACAAGAGCAUCUCAUCUGGAUUUGGUGUUCUGUUAAAGGAGCAAGGAGCUAGGGGAUUCUUCAGGGGAUGGGUACCUUGCUUGGUUAUAGUGCUCAGGGCACUUGCAAGUUUGUGUUCUACAAGUUCUUUACGAAGACCUACUCAGAUAUGGCUGGGCCUGACAACGCCGUGAAGUACAAGACCCUAAUUUACCUUGCAGGUUCAACUUCUGCUGAGGUAAUUUCUGAUAUCACUCUGUGCCCCUUUGAAGCUGUCAAGGUCCGUGUGCAGACACAACCUGGAUUUGCUCGUGGAAGUUGUUAGCUGGAACUCCAAAAUUCACUUUUCUUGCAAAACAUAAAUAUGUUAGCCAGACAUGAGAUUACUGUAUGUCUGUCCAUCCACACUUGCGCUGUAGCAGAAGAGAGCAACUUAGCAUAGACUAUUUUGUAAAUUAAAUUUAUUGAAUAGAACACGAGCAAACAACCAGACAGUAACGACCUAAUGGGCAAUGAUUAUUCCAUGAGUGUCAUCCCAUAGAAUGUUCAAAUUCACUGAAAUAAGCCAAUUCAGCCCUUAACAGUCUAGCCGAACAUCUCUCACAGAUUUUGCCACUGAUCCAUGAGAAAAGGGCAGCAUCCUUCUUUCUACCCUCGCCUAUGAUGGCCGUGGUGUCCAGUUCACAAUGUGUCGAAACAUGGUCAAUUCCAUGACAAUGAGCGUACCACCCCACGUGCAAUUCUAUGACAAUGAGCAUGCCACCCCACGUGCACACAUGUCACUGCAUCCACACAAGGGAAUGUUUAAAACUUUAAAAACUAAUUUGUCAAGUUGGACAUGAGGAUGCCCUCUACGAGGUACUCCCUGCACCUGUAGCCUAUUGCCAUGAAUUUGGUCAGAGUUGAGGAACUGGGUCAGGACACAUCAAGGGAGAUGAAAAGCUCGUCAAGGACAGAGUAAGAGCGGAGGAUAUAGAUGCCAGGUGGGACAUGGCGAGAUGUGAUGCCGAUGUCUAAUGACACCAAUGGGUUGAGCGACACAGGCUUCUGCCCAGCGACAUCGAGAAAGAAGUGUCAAUGACGGCCGCCGACCAGUCUACGCGUAUUAUGGGCUUAUGGUCCAAUUUUGUGUUUUUCAUAUCAACAUGAUUGUUUUACCGUCAAUUUUCUGAAUAUUGUUAGUGACUAACUAUUUCCUAAUUUUGUUUAUUUAGGUUGGAGAGAAUAUGUACGACUAAUGUUUGAGCAGAAGGAGAGUGAAAGAUGCAAGAGUGAUACACCCAAUCACUUGAUUUGAGUCAAACCUGGUUUGUUGUAUAGGAUUCCACUGUAUUUGUCCGCACAAAUACUUCUUGAUAUUUACUCAUGAUAGUUUUUCUCCAUAGUUCAGUGUCUACAUCUCUAUUCUCCUAAUAUAGUCAUAUUGUCCAUAUAAGUGCAGCUUUUAUUUUGAGUUCUUCCUGGAUGCCACUCUGAAGGUGAAUUCUUCCUGGGUGUAUCAUGCACCUGUGUCUUGCCAUUCUAUAUUCUCAAGUCUGAACUGCAGAUUCUCAAAGGUUUCGGACACCACUUUGACCUACGACAAAUAUUUUGACUAUUUAAUUUAGUGACACUGAUCAUAGCUGCCUGUAGGUUUUAUUCACUCACCAGCUCUGGCUUUUGGUGUACACGGUACACCGUGAGGCAAGAAGGUUGACAUGUUCAUCUGUUAUCAUGAGUGUCGUGUUUACUCUUGCAGUUCAGUUGUUAAGCUUAAGCUAAAGAUCUGAUUGUACUGUCUAGAGGUGGAAUGGCUAAGCUCUCUUUAUAAUCCUUUUACUGAAUAUCUUGCAAAUGACACACUAAAGGGCAUGAAGUUAUUAGGUGUGUGGGUAUCAGUCCACUAUGUUCUUAUGUCUAUGGAUCCGCGAAAUGUUUGAUGCUUUAUUGGUUUUGGUCACAAAAAUGUUUGGUGUACAUGCUUUCAUCUUGAAUAUAUGUAGCUCUAAAUAAUGCUACUUCCCAGUUAGUUCAUUGAAGUAAUAAUACAAUCAAUUGGAUGUUCUUCUACUGUUAUGGGUCUAGCGGAAAAAAAUGUUUGUUUCGAUAUCAUUGUAUUUCUCCAUAGUUCAUUGUCAACAUCUUUAUUCUCCUAAUACAUUCAUAUUAUCCAUAUAAGUGCAGCUUUUAGUUCGUAAAAGUACUUUGUACUUUGCCCAAUUGAUUUCACUAGAUCCCCUGUUUGUACAGUAUGGAUGAAACACCUUGCAAUUAUUUCACUAGAUCGAUUGAUGAUAGCUUGCUGUUGCUGAUGAAACCGAAGAAACUGUAUCUAUUCCAGGCCAGUUGCCAACCAAACCAACAUUGUCUCAGUUACUGGUUCAAAGAUGUCUCAAACCACGCACAAACAUUUCAGUUGAUACAUACACCAUAAGUUUGGUUGUCCGCUCUUUUAGAUGCCCAGAAGCAUGAUUCUCGAGAUCAUUGCUCACUGAACAUAAGACCAAAUGUUCCAAUUUAUUUUAUUGCUCAAAGAAGAAUUGGUGUUCUGUUGUCUUAUCCUGCGACACUAUAUGGCAUCAGGUUGUUUGCUUCCAUCAAUUGGCUUGUGGGUUGUGCUUUGCACUGUUAUCAGUGUUUCUGUCAGAUUAUUGUCUAGCUUAAUGAUCUGUUGCACCAACAUGUAUGGAAGUUGUUGGUGUGGUGAUCGCCGUAGGGCCCGGACUGACUGGCAAGAAAGAUGGGGAUGUUGUCGCGUACGCAGGCAAGCCGAUGGGCUCUUAUGCUAAAGAGCAGAUUAUUCCAGCCAAUGUUGGUUCCCGUCACGCCUUUGAUUGAUCACACAACGGCUGCUAUCAUGCUGAAGGGGAUGACUGUCCAUAUGCUGGUUCGCAGCAUAUUUAAGGUACAUUUUGUCUUGUUCCUGCUGUGUGACAUACUGAUCCGCUGCACAUCCGCGUGAAGCACACCCACCCACUGCCGGAGGCGUCCCGCGCCCAUGCUGAUCUCAAGGCCCGGAAGACGCCGAGCUCCGUACUGCUGACCCCGUAGAACUGAGCACUGUCAUAUUUUUUGGGUAGGAGAAGAAGGAAUAAACAGGGGACUCGGCGAUGUAUGUGCUCUAGAAUCUACAAUGCUUGUGAAUAUGUUCGCAGGUGUUGGCAUCUGAAUACUGAAUCCUCCGUCUGUCUGUUUCACCUCGUUAUGUUGGAUUCAGUAUGAAUGAGUGUGUUUGGUGGUUAUGAGUUGGAUUGUGGUCUUGUUGUGCACAUCACUGUUUGAAGCAUGACGAGUUGUAAAGACCAAUAUUUUCCAAUAUAGUGACCUAGCAGGACAAGUAUUUCCCUCA